rnacentral:misc_RNA from 1 species
AUCCCGUCGAGAUCCGCGCGAGCCGCGCACACGCCAGGUG